CUUGACAAUGUUAACAGAGAAAAUGACAAUGCAUUGCGUGGACUCUUGCACCAGCGAUGCGCAUGUCACAUUAUAAAUCUCAUUGUCAAAUCUGGUUUGAAAAGGAUCAAGUCUUAUCUUGAGGCUUUUAGAACUGCAAUCUCUUAUUUGAACUCUUCUAACCAACGCAUUGGUGAAUUUCAUAACUAUUGCAUUGUUAAGGGGGUUAAACCUCGCAAGUUUGGUUUGGAUAUGGAUGUGAGAUGGAACUCUACCUAUCUCAUGCUUAAGCAUCUCAUACCAUACAAGGGCACUUUCUCGACCUUUAUUGCUGCUAAUUAUGGUUUGGUUAAUGGUGAGCCACUACUCAGUGAAGGUCAUUGGGCUGUUGCUGAGAAAAUCAUGGAGUUUCUUGGAAUUUUUUAUGAAUCAACUGUUGCUUUGUCUGGUGUUUAUUAUCCAACUAGUCCUCUGAUGCUGCAUCAUAUCCUUGAAAUUGCUUGUCAUUUGCAUGCCAGAGAGACUGAUCCUUUGCUCAUGAGCAUUUUGACUCCUAUGAAACUGAAGUUCCUCAAGUAUUGGCAAAACAUCCCUCUUUUGUAUUCCUUUGCUUUUGUUUUGGAUCCAAGGGCCAAGAUGAGAGGAUUUCAUAAUGUUCUCCAGCUUCUUUCUCAGUCUGUUGGUGUUGAUUAUUCUAAUUACUUCACUGAGGUAAGAGCUGAACUGUACAAACUGUAUAACAAGUAUGAAAACAAGUAUGGUGCAGUUAGGUUGCAGAGGCCCUCCAACAUAUCAGGAUCAUCUGGUAAGAAAAAAAUGCUUGGGGUAAGAUAUAUGGAGCUGCUGCUGGUACAAGUCCCUCUUCUCCUGCUCUUGCAUCUACAACUUCUGCUGCUGUAUCUGUACCUCUUGUUUCAGAGUUGGCUUCCUACUUGGACAGCGACACUGUCACAUGCUUUGAUGAUGAUUUUGACAUAUUAAUUUGGUGGCAUGAGCACAAACUGACAUAUCCCAUUCUGUCCAUACUAGCAAAAGAUGUUAUGUCUGUUCCAGUUUCUACUGUAUCUUCGGAAUCUUGCUUUAGUCUCACUGGCAGGGUGAUCGAGGAGCGUCGACGACGCUUGGCACCUCAUAAUGUGGAGUACUUGACCUGCGUCAAGGACUGGGAAGCUGCUGAUGCAAGGACGCAGCAUGAUGUCGAGAAGUUGACGCAAGAUUUGGAGUUAAAGUUUGGCAUCAAGGACAAUGCUGAAGGGCAGGCUACUGGAAAUGAGUCUGUCCCUGCCAAUGGCUAGUCAUGAGAAGGCAACUGGGAAGGCUGGGCCUAGGCAAGAGGCCAGCAGCAUCACCAACACCAAGUCAGCAGUGCUAAUGAUUCACUGUUUUGCAAUUUGAUCUUCUGUUUGUAAUGUGCUAAUGAGUCUGCUGAACUUGAACAAUGUGAUAUAAUUUUGAACAAUUAUAGAGUUGGGCUGUACUCUUUUUCCCUUCCUAGGGUUUCUCACAAGGGUGAGUUUUACCUAGGAAGGUUUUUAAUGAGGCAGCAACACUUGAUCACAUAGAUCAAGUGUUAAAACAGCUCUAUAAUUGUGUUAUCACUUACCAGUUAAGUGAUAUUUUGCUAUAUGUC